rnacentral:tRNA from 1 species
GAGACCCUAGUAAAAUUAUUACCUUGCUUUGUCAAGGCAAAGUUGCAAGUGAAAACCUUGCGGGUCUCC